rnacentral:rRNA from 1 species
CCUACGGGUGGCAGCAGUGAGGAAUAUUGGUCAAUGGGCGAGAGUCUGAACCAGCCAAGUCGCGUGAAGGAUGACUGCCCUAUGGGUUGUAAACUUCUUUUAUAUGGGAAUAAAAUGUUCCACGUGUGGGAUUUUGUAUGUACCAUAUGAAUAAGGAUCGGCUAACUCCGGUCCAGCAGCCCCGGUAAUACGGAGGAUCCGAGCGUUAUCCGGAUUUAUUGGGUUUAAAGGGAGCGUAGGUGGAUUUUUAAGUCAGUUGUGAAAGUUUGCGGAUUAAACGUAAAAUUGCAGUUGAAACUGGUAGUCGUGAGUACAGUAGAGGUGGGCGGAAUUCGUGGUGUAGCGGUGAAAUGCUUAGAUAUCACGAAGAACUCCGAUUGCGAAGGCAGCUCACUGGACUGCAACUGACACUGAGGCUCGAAAGUGUGGGUAUCAAACAGGAUUAGAUACCCGGGUAGUC